UACGUAGGGUGCGAGCGUUAAUCGGAUUUACUGGGCGUAAAGCGUGCGCAGGCGGCCCGUUAAGACAGGUGUGAAAUCCCCGGGCUCAACCUGGGAAUGGCAUUUUGAACUGGCAGGCUCGAGUUCUGAAGAGGGUGGUGGAAUUCCUGGUGUAGCAGUGAAAUGCGUAGAGAUCAGGAGGAACACCGAUGGCGAAGGCAGCCCCCUGGGCCUGUACUGACGCUCAUGCACGAAAGCGUGGGGAGCAAACAGG
rnacentral:rRNA from 1 species